rnacentral:rRNA from 1 species
AUUGAACGCUGGCGGCAUGCCUUACACAUGCAAGUCGAACGGCAGCGGGCCUUCGGGUGCCGGCGAGUGGCGAACGGGUGAGUAAUGCAUCGGAACGUGCCAUUGAGUGGGGGAUAACGUAGCGAAAGUUACGCUAAUACCGCAUAUUCUGUGAGCAGGAAAGCGAGGGGGACCGCAAGGCCUUGCGCUCUUUGAGCGGCCGAUGUCAGAUUAGCUAGUUGGUGAGGUAAAGGCUUACCAAGGCGACGAUCUGUAGCGGGUCUGAGAGGAUGAUCCGCCACACUGGAACUGAGACACGGUCCAGACUCCUACGGGAGGCAGCAGUGGGGAAUUUUGGACAAUGGGCGCAAGCCUGAUCCAGCCAUUCCGCGUGCAGGAUGAAGGCC